rnacentral:rRNA from 1 species
UACGUAGGUGGCAAGCGUUAUCCGGAUUUAUUGGGCGUAAAGGGAACGCAGGCGGUCUUUUAAGUCUGAUGUGAAAGCCUUCGGCUUAACCGGAGUAGUGCAUUGGAAACUGGGAGACUUGAGUGCAGAAGAGGAGAGUGGAACUCCAUGUGUAGCGGUGGAAUGCGUAGAUAUAUGGAGGAACACCGGUGGCGAAAGCGGCUCUCUGGUCUGUAACUGACGCUGAGGCUCGAAAGCGUGGGUAGCGAACAGG